rnacentral:lncRNA from 1 species
GGAAAGUCUUGGUCCUGCAGAAUCCAGGGCUGUAAAUUGGAAAACUUCUCCAUGUGUGCUCCUUCCUCAGAAUAGCCUGGCAUCAUUCCUUCCGUUGCUCCCAGGCACUCAGGAUUGGGCAAGUCCAUUACAUCUGCCACAAGGACCAGCAGCACCCUGCCAGCACAUCUUGACCUUACCCUUCCACUGCCCCAAGCCUUCUAAAUGCACAACAACAACAACAAAAAAAAAAACCCUCAAGAGUAAGUAUCUUCACACUGAAGUAAAUCUAUCAGCCAGCGUUGCUGUGUCUCUGCAUGGAGUGAUAUACACAGAUGGCUCCAUUUCCUCCUCCUCCAGACUGGAAUCUCAGCUGGAUACAGGAAGACGUGAGCUUUCUUAAAAUCCCCUCAGCAUCCCCUUUAUACAAAGCUGGCAGCUGCUCCUCAGUGAGUACUCACACAUUUUAAGGUAUCUUUUGAAUGGUACAAAAGAUUGAAAAAAAACAAAAAACAAACAAAAAAACCACCAACCACUACCAUAACUAAUCCAAGGUCUCUCAAGACACUCAUUACAACUUGUUUCAACCAAUGUCUUUUCAAAUGAGUGCACCACUUUCCAUGGUAAACCUGCACUUCCAGGCUAGAGGACAAAGCUUGAAAGAGCAGCAAACAUAAUCAAUUAUGCUUAAUGGAAAGGUGAUUACACAUAGCUCUUUACUUUUUAAGUCAGUUCUGGAGAUACAAGUUUACUGAAUAGCGUGUGUGUAGGAAAGGAG